UACGAAGGGUGCAAGCGUUACUCGGAAUUACUGGGCGUAAAGCGUGCGUAGGUGGUUUGUUAAGUCUGAUGUGAAAGCCCUGGGCUCAACCUGGGAAUGGCAUUGGAUACUGGCAGUCUAGAGUGCGGUAGAGGGUAGCGGAAUUCCCGGUGUAGCAGUGAAAUGCGUAGAUAUCGGGAGGAACAUCCGUGGCGAAGGCGGCUACCUGGACCAGCACUGACACUGAGGCACGAAAGCGUGGGGAGCAAACAGG
rnacentral:rRNA from 1 species